rnacentral:rRNA from 1 species
GAUGAACGCUGGCGGCGUGCCUAAUACAUGCAAGUCGAACGAACAGACGAGGAGCUUGCGCUUUUGACGGUAGCGGCGGACGGGUGAGUAACGCGUGCAUAACCUACCUAUAAGACGGGGAUAAUUUCGUAAAACCGGUGCUGAUACCGGAUCAUAUAAUGAACCGCAGGGUUCAAUAGUGAUUGACGGCUUUGCUGUUUCUUAUAGCUGAUGCCGCGCCGCAUUAGCUAGUUGGUAAGGUAACGGCCUACCAAGGCUACGAUGCGUAGCCGACCUGAGAGGAUGAUCGGCCACACUGGAACUGAGACACGGUCCAGACUCCUACGGGAGGCAGCAGUGGGGAAUCUUCCGCAAUGGGCGAAAGCCUGACCCAGCCACGCCGCGUGAGUGAUGAAGGCCUUCGGGUCGUAAAGCUCUGUUAUUAGGGAAGAACAGAUGUGGAAGUAACCAUGGCCGUCUUGACGGUACCUAAUCAAAAAGCACCGGCUAACUACGUG